UGCCAUCCAGGGGAUGGGGUGCCCCCGUAACCGCCGCAAAGGCUGAUGACUCCUACUUGAGA
rnacentral:ncRNA from 2 species